rnacentral:rRNA from 1 species
UACGGAGGGAGCUAGCGUUGUUCGGAAUUACUGGGCGUAAAGCGCGCGUAGGCGGCUUUGUAAGUUAGAGGUGAAAGCCCGGAGCUCAACUCCGGAACUGCCUUUAAAACUGCAUCGCUUGAAUCCAGGAGAGGUGAGUGGAAUUCCGAGUGUAGAGGUGAAAUUCGUAGAUAUUCGGAAGAACACCAGUGGCGAAGGCGGCUCACUGGACUGGUAUUGACGCUGAGGUGGCGAAAAGCGGUGGGGAGCAAACAGG